GGUUUUAUAAUUUAAAUUAAAUAAAAUAUUAAAUUGCAAAUUUAAAAAUCUUAAUAGUAAAACUU
rnacentral:tRNA from 1 species